UACCCUUGACAUGUCUGGAACCUUGCUGAGAGGCGAGGGUGCCUUCGGGAGCCAGAACACAGGUGCUGCAUGGCUGUCGUCAGCUCGUGUCGUGAGAUGUUGGGUUAAGUCCCGCAACGAGCGCAACCCUUUGUCAUUAGUUGCCAUCAUUUAGUUGGGCACUCUAAUGAGACUGCCGGUGACAAACCGGAGGAAGGUGGGGAUGACGUCAAGUCCUCAUGGCCCUUAUGGGUAGGGCUUCACACGUCAUACAAUGGUCGGUACAGAGGGUUGCCAAGCCGCGAGGUGGAGCCAAUCCCUUAAAGCCGAUCGUAGUCCGGAUCGUAGUCUGCAACUCGACUACGUGAAGUCGGAAUCGCUAGUAAUCGUGGAUCAGAAUGUCACGGUGAAUACGUUCCCGGGUCUU
rnacentral:rRNA from 1 species